UGGUCUGGCUGAGCUGGCAAUGCGAUCGACAUGCCUCUGGCCAGAGAUUUAUUACAUCCAUCCUUGGAAGAGGAGAAGAAAAAACAUAAAAAAAAAUGCCUCGUUCAAAGUCCAAAUUCCUACUUUAUGGAUGUGAAAUGUCCAGGUUGCUACAAGAUCACCACGGUUUUCAGCCAUGCGCAGAUAAUGGUUCUUUGUGUGGGUUGUUCGACAAUGUUGUGCCAGCCUACAGGAGGAAAGGCCAGCCUCACAGAAGGGUGUUCAUUUAGAAGAAAGCAACACUAAUGAUCCACCCGAUUUCCUGAAUUUGUGUUAUCAUAGAAAGCUUUAUCAUAAAUUCAGUAAUUCUAGUUAAUCUACCAAGACAAUGCAAUUACAUUUGAUUUUGUAGGGUAUACAACAGUAAUCACCUAUUUUGGUGUCAGUUUUUCAAUAAAGUUUUGAUUAUGGUAAAAAAAAAAAAAAGAAAAA